UCGCUCCUACCGAUUGAAUGGUCCGGUGAAGCGUUCGGACCGUGGCUUUCUGACGGUUCGCCGUCGGAUAGCCGUGGGAAGUUCGUUAAACCUUAUCAUUUAGAGGAAGGAG
rnacentral:rRNA from 1 species